rnacentral:rRNA from 1 species
AUGGAGGCCGCCAUGAUCCCCUUGAUCAAGAAGCUCGGCAGCCUACUCGCUGGCGAGUGCAACCUGGAGAAACGCGUGAGGAAGCGCGUCGAGUCUCUGAUCACUGAGUUGAAGAUGAUGCACGCCGUUCUACGCAAGAUCGGCGCCAAGCCGGCCGAGCAGUUCGACGAGCACGUCCUCAUCUGGGCGGGCAAAGUGAGGGACCUCUCCUACCAUAUGGAGGACGCCGUCGACAAUUUCGUCGUCCGCGUGGAGGACCACGGCCAUGACGGUGGCUCCACCAACAUGAGGAACAAAGUCAAGAAGUUCCUCAAAAAGGCCACAAAACUGUUUACCAAGGGUAAGGCUCUUCAUCAGAUCUCCGAUGACAUUGAAGAGGCUCAGCGGCUCGCCAAGGAGUUAGGCGACCUGCGCCAGAGGUAUAUGAUUGAGGCACAUGCCAACAGUAGUGGUGAUGCCAUUGAUCCUCGCCUCAAGGCGGUGUAUAAAGAUGUCACGGAGCUCGUUGGGAUAGAUCAUGUAAGAGAUGAGCUGAUCAAGAAGUUGUGUGAUAGUAAUGAGAGGUCCAAGGAGCACUUACAGACCAUGUCUAUUGUUGGAUUUGGUGGGUUGGGCAAGACAACUCUCGCCAAAGCAGUGUAUGACAAGAUCAAAGUGUUGUUUGAUAGUGUAGUGUUUGUUUCCGUGUCUCGGAAACCUGACAUGACCAAGAUUUUCAAGAAGAUCUUAUAUGAACUUGACGAGAACAAGUAUGCAACCAUCAACGAAGCUGCUAGGGACGAUGGACAACUCCUCGAUGAAUUGAGAAAGUUUCUUCAGGAUAAGAUAUAUUUUCAGAGGAUUUUGAGAUAA